rnacentral:rRNA from 1 species
AGCCCUUGACAUACCGGUCGCGAUUUCCAGAGAUUGAUUUCUUCAGUUCGGCUGGACCGGAUACAGGUGCUGCAUGGCUGUCGUCAGCUCGUGUCGUGAGAUGUUGGGUUAAGUCCUGCAACGAGCGCAACCCUCGUCCUUAGUUGCCAUCAGUUCGGCUGGGCACUCUAGGGAAACUGCCGGUGAUAAGCCGGAGGAAGGCGGGGAUGACGUCAAGUCCUCAUGGCCCUUAUGGGCUGGGCUACACACGUGCUACAAUGGCGGUGACAGUGGGAAGCAAGACCGCGAGGUGGAGCUAAUCCCCAAAAACCGUCUCAGUUCGGAUUGUACUCUGCAACUCGAGUGCAUGAAGUGGAAUCGCUA